rnacentral:rRNA from 1 species
CCUACGGGAGACAGCAGUGAGGAAUAUUGGUCAAUGGGCGCGAGCCUGAACCAGCCAAGUAGCGUGAGGGAUGACUGCCCUACGGGUUGUAAACUUCUUUUAUAAAGGAAUAAAGUGCGGCACGUGUGUCUUUUCGUAUGUACUUUAUGAAUCAGGAACGGCUAACUCCGCGCCAGCAGCCGCGGUAAUACGGAGGAUCCGAGCGUUAUCCGGAUUUAUUGGGUUUAAAGGGAGCGUAGAUGGGUUGUUAAGUCCGUUGUGAAAGUUUGCGGCUCAACCGUAAAAUUGCAAUUGAUACUGGCAGACUUGAGUGCAGAUGAGGUAGGUGGAAUUCGUAGUGUAGCGGUGAAAUGCGUAGAUAUCACGAAGAACACCAGUUGCGAAGGCAGCCUACUAAACUGCCACUGACAUUGAUGCUCGAAAGUGUGGGUAGCAAACAGGAUUAGAUACCCUGGUAGUC